rnacentral:ncRNA from 1 species
GCUAACGUCCGUCGUGAAGAGGGAAACAACCCAGACCGCCAGCUAAGGUCCCAAAGUCAUAGUUAAGUGGGAAACGAUGUGGAAAGGCCCAGACAGCCAGGAGGUUGGCUUAGAAGCAGCCAUCCUUUAAAGAAAGCGUAAUAGCUCACUGGUCGAGUCGGUCUGCGCGGAAGAUGUAACGGGGCUAAACUAUGCACCGAAGCUGCGGAUUCAU